rnacentral:rRNA from 1 species
ACGGGAGGCAGCAGUGGGGAAUAUUGGACAAUGGGGGGAACCCUGAUCCAGCGACGCCGCGUGAGUGAAGAAGUAUUUCGGUAUGUAAAGCUCUAUCAGCAAGGAAGAAAAUGACGGUACUUGCCUAAGAAGCCCCGGCUAACUACGUGCCAGCAGCCGCGGUAAUACGUAGGGGGCAAGCGUUAUCCGGAUUUACUGGGUGUAAAGGGAGCGUAGACGGCAAAGCAAGUCUGAAGUGAAAGCCCCGGGCUCAACCCGGGAACUGCUUUUGAAACUGUUUAGCUAGAGUGCAGGAGAGGUAAGUGGAAUUCCUAGUGCAGCGGUGAAAUGCGUAGAUAUUAGGAGGAACACCAGUGGCGAAGGCGGCUUACUGGACUGUAACUGACGUUGAGGCUCGAAAGCGUGGGGAGCAAACAGGAUUAGAUACCCUGGUA